CCUACGGGGGGCUGCAGUGGGGAAUAUUGGACAAUGGGGGCAACCCUGAUCCAGCCAUGCCGCGUGUGUGAAGAAGGCCCUCGGGUUGUAAAGCACUUUCAGUGAGGAAGAACGCCUGGUGGUUAAUACCCAUCAGGAAAGACAUCACUCACAGAAGAAGCACCGGCUAACUCCGUGCCAGCAGCCGCGGUAAUACGGAGGGUGCGAGCGUUAAUCGGAAUUACUGGGCGUAAAGCGCGCGUAGGUGGCUUGAUAAGCCGGUUGUGAAAGCCCCGGGCUCAACCUGGGAACGGCAUCCGGAACUGUCAAGCUAGAGUGCAGGAGAGGAAGGUGGAAUUCCCGGUGUAGCGGUGAAAUGCGUAGAGAUCGGGAGGAAUACCAGUGGCGAAGGCGGCCUUCUGGACUGACACUGACACUGAGGUGCGAAAGCGUGGGUAGCAAACAGGAUUAGAUACCCGUGUAGUC
rnacentral:rRNA from 1 species